UAUGGUAAGUGCCAGCAGCCGCGGUAAUACGUAGGGAGCAAGCGUUGUCCGGAUUUACUGGGUGUAAAGGGUGCGUAGGCGGCUUUGCAAGUCAGAUGUGAAAUCUAUGGGCUCAACCCAUAAACUGCAUUUGAAACUGUAGAGCUUGAGUGAAGUAGAGGCAGGCGGAAUUCCCCGUGUAGCGGUGAAAUGCGUAGAGAUGGGGAGGAACACCAGUGGCGAAGGCGGCCUGCUGGGCUUUAACUGACGCUGAGGCACGAAAGCGUGGGUAGCAAACAGG
rnacentral:rRNA from 1 species